UUUUCUUAACUUUUUCUAUAAUGAUACAUGCUAGUUAAAUUUAACAAUACCGUGAGUAUAAUAAGUACAAUAACUCUAAGUAAUUUAACCUUAAUGGUAUCAGAAUAAAAAUUCAAAAACACCUAGAAAAUCCACACCUGCAGUACUUAACAUUUUCCAAUAAGUAAAAGCUUGAUUAAGUAAUAGAAAAAAGAAUUGGUAAAUUAUGUGCCAGCCACCGCGGUUAUACAUAAAAUUCUAGUUAAGAAAAAACGGUUAAAACUGUGGUAAAAUUUCACUAACAAUCUCCUGAAAUAGAAAUAAAACUUUAGCAGUAAUAAGCUACACAGUUAUAUAAUUUCAAUUACGAAAAACCAAUUUCAGAUUAUUGAUCCCACCAAAGCUCCAAAAUAAACUGGGAUUAGAUACCCCACUAUAUGAGCUAUAAAAUUAAGACAAACACCAGAGAACUACGAACUAAAGUUUAAAACUCAAAGGACUUGGCGGUUUUCUACACCUACCUGGAGGAGCUUGCUAUCUAAC
rnacentral:rRNA from 1 species